GAUGAACGCUGGCGGCAUGCCUAACACAUGCAAGUCGAUCGGUAAGGCUCUUCGGUGUACACUAGAGUCGGACGGCUGAGUAACGCGUAGGAACACACCCUGCAGUCAGGGAUAAGACACCGAAAGGUGUUCUAAUACCGCAUACGGCCUUCGGAUUUAAGCAGUUCUGCGCUGAAGGAGUGGCCUGCGUCUUAUUAGAUAGUUGGUGAGGUAAUGGCUCACCAAGUCGAUGAUGUGUAGCUGGGCUGAGAGGAAGAUCAGACAGACUGGAACUGAGACACAGUACAGACUCCUACGGGAGGCAGCAGAGAGGAAUAUAGCACAAUGGGCGAAAGCAUGAAGGAGCAAUGACGCGAGAAGGAUGAAGGUACGCAGGUUGUAAACUGCAUUUAUAAGAGAAGAUUAUGACGGUAACUAAUGAAUAAGGGACGGCUAACUACGUG
rnacentral:rRNA from 1 species